AUUGAACGCUGGCGGCAGGCCUAACACAUGCAAGUCGAACGAGUGGCGGACGGGUGAGUAAUGUCUGGGAAACUGCCUGAUGGAGGGGGAUAACUACUGGAAACGGUAGCUAAUACCGCAUACCAUCGGAUGUGCCCAUAUGGGAUUAGCUAGUAGGUGGGGUAAAGGCUCACCUAGGCGACGUUCCCUAGCUGGUCUGAGAGGAUGACCAGACACACGGGAACUGAGACACGGUCAAGACGCCUGCGGGAGGCAGCAGUGGGGAAUAUUGCACAAUGGGGGAAAGCCUGAUGCAGCCAUGCCGCGUGUAUGAAGAAGGCCUUCGGGUGGUAAAGUACUGUCAGCGGGGAGGCGUUAACCGAAGAAGAAGCACCGGCUAACUCCGUGCCAGCAGCCGCGGUAAUUC
rnacentral:rRNA from 1 species